UGCGGAGGAUGCGAGCGUUAUCCGGAUUUAUUGGGUUUAGAGGGUGCGCAGGCGGCACGGCAAGCCGGCGGUCAAAUCGCGGGGCUCAACCCCGCCCAGCCGUCGGAACUGCCGGGCUAGAGUGGGCGAGAAGUGCGCGGAAUGCGUGGUGUAGCGGUGAAAUGCAUAGAUAUCACGCAGAACUCCGAUUGCGAAGGCAGCGCACCGGCGCCCUACUGACGCUCAGGCACGAAAGCGUGGGUAUCGAACAGG
rnacentral:rRNA from 1 species